rnacentral:rRNA from 1 species
GAUGAACGCUGGCGGCGUGCCUAACACAUGCAAGUCGAGCGGAGAAUUGUUGCUUGCAACAAUUCUUAGCGGCGGACGGGUGAGUAACACGUGGGUAACCUGCCCUAAACAAAGGGAUAACAAUGAGUAAUCAUUGCUAAUACCGUAUAAGCUUACACUAUCGCAUGAUAGAGUAAGAAAAGAUUUAUCGGUUUAGGAGGGGCCCGCGUCUGAUUAGCUAGUUGGAGAGGUAACGGCUCACCAAGGCGACGAUCAGUAGCCGACCUGAGAGGGUGAUCGGCCACAUUGGGACUGAGACACGGCCCAAACUCCUACGGGAGGCAGCAGUGGGGAAUAUUGCACAAUGGAGGAAACUCUGAUGCAGCAACGCCGCGUGAAGGAAGAAGGUUUUCGGAUCGUAAACUUCUAUCUACAGGGAAGAAAAAAAUGACGGUACCUGAGUAAGAAGCCCCGGCUAACUACGUG